CAGUAACGCGUAUGAUCUACCCUAUGGACGGGAAUAACCUCGGGAAACUGAGAAUAAUGCCCGAUCGAACAUUAUGCCUGGAAUGGUUUAUGUUUCAAAUGAUUUAUCGCCAUAGGAUGGGACUGCGGCCUAUCAGUUUGUUGGUGAGGUAAUGGCCCACCAAGACUAUUACAGGUACGGGCUCUGAGAGGAGUAGCCCGGAGAUGGGUACUGAGACACGGACCCAGGCCCUAUGGGGCGCAGCAGGCGAGAAAACUUUGCAAUGUGCGAAAGCACGACAAGGUUAAUCCGAGUGGUUUCUGCUAAAGAAACCUUUUGUCAGUCCUAGAAACACUAACGAAUAAGGGGUGGGCAAGUUCUGGUGUCAGCCGCCGCGGUAAAACCAGCACCUCAAGUGGUCAGGAUGAUUAUUGGGCCUAAAGCAUCCGUAGCUCGUUUUGUAAGUUUUCGGUUAAAUCCAUGCGCUUAACGUAUGGGCUGCCGGGAAUACUGCAUAACUAGGAAGUGGGAGAGGUAGACGGUACUCGGGAGGAAGGGGUAAAAUCCUUUGAUCUCUUGAUGACCACCUGUGGCGAAGGCGGUCUACCAGAACACGUUCGACGGUGAGGGAUGAAAGCUGGGGGAGCAAACCGGAUUAGAUACCCGGGUAGUCCCAGCUGUAAACUAUGCAAACUCAGUGAUGCAUUGGCUUAUGGCCAAUGCAGUGCUGCAGGGAAGCCGUUAAGUUUGCCGCCUGGGAAGUACGUACGCAAGUAUGAAACUUAAAGGAAUUGGCGGGGGAGCACCACAAGGGGUGAAGCCUGCGGUUCAAUUGGAGUCAACGCCGGAAA
rnacentral:rRNA from 1 species